UACGGAGGAUCCAAGCGUUAUCCGGAUUUAUUGGGUUUAAAGGGUGCGUAGGCGGCUUAUUAAGUCAGGGGUGAAAGACGGUGGCUCAACCAUCGCAGUGCCUUUGAUACUGAUGAGCUUGAAUGAACUAGAGGUAGGCGGAAUGUGACAAGUAGCGGUGAAAUGCAUAGAUAUGUCACAGAACACCGAUUGCGAAGGCA
rnacentral:rRNA from 1 species